UUCGCAAUGCCCGAAAGGGUGACGAAGCGACGCCGCGUGUGGGAAGAAGGCCUUCGGGUUGUAAACCACUGUCGGGAGUUAAGAAAUAUAAGGAUGUUAAUAGCGUCCUUACUUGACUAAGGCUCCGGAGGAAGCCACGGCUAACUCUGUGCCAGCAGCCGCGGUAAUACAGAGGCGGCAAGCGUUGUUCGGAAUUAUUGGGCGUAAAGAGCACGUAGGCGGCCCUGCAAGUCAGCUGUGAAAUCCUUCUGCUCAACGGAAGAACGGCAGUUGAUACUAUGGGGCUCGAGUGCGGGAGGGGAGAGUGGAACUUCUGGUGGAGCGGUGAAAUGCGUAGAUAUCAGAAGGAACGCCGGCGGCGAAAGCGACUCUCUGGCCCGUAACUGACGCUGAGUGUGCGAAAGCUAGGGGAGCAAACGGGAUUAGAUACCCCGGUAGUCCUAGCCGUAAACGAUGGGCACUAAGUAGAGGGGUUUUA
rnacentral:rRNA from 1 species